AUUGAACGCUGGCGGCAGGCUUAACACAUGCAAGUCGAGCGGGGUGAUGGUGCUUGCACUAUCACUUAGCGGCGGACGGGUGAGUAAUGCUGAGGAAUCUGCCUAUUAGUGGGGGACAACAUCUCGAAAGGGAUGCUAAUACCGCAUACGUCCUACGUGAGAAAGCAGGGGAUCACUUGUGACCUUGCGCUAAUAGAUGAGCCUAAGUCGGAUUAGCUAGUUGGUGGGUUAAAGGCCUACCAAGGCGACGAUCUGUAGCGGGUCUGAGAGGAUGAGCCGCCACACUGGGACUGAGAAACGGCCCAGACUCCUACGGGAGGCAGCAGUGGGGAAUAUUGGACAAUGGGGGGAACCCUGAUCCAGCCAUGCCGCGUGUGUGAAGAAGGCCUUAUGGUUGUAAAGCACUUUAAGCGAGGAGGAGGCUCUUUUGGUUAAUACCCAAGAUGAGUGGACGUUACUCGCAGAAUAAGCACCGGCUAACUCUGUGCCAGCCGCCGCAGUAAUAC
rnacentral:rRNA from 1 species